AUGAGAGGGCUCAUCUGGAACUGCAGAGAGGUGGGCAAGAAAGGGAUAGCCACUUGCCUCUCUGAUAUGAUUAGUGACCAUUCCCUAGACUUCCUAGACCAUGAAAAAAAAUUCACUCCUAAAUGUCUAAGGAGAAUAGACCCAUGUUACCAAUUCAAAUGGAACCAGAUUUCGCCUGAAGGAAAAUCAGGAGGCAUCUUGUGUGGGGUUCGCCAAGAUACUCUGGAAAUUGUGUCUUUCAACAAAGGCAAGUACAUUCUCCAAGUUAUCCUUAGUGACAAGAAAAGAAAAAGCAAGUGGGGUCUAAUUGUGGUUUAUGGGUCGGCCCACGAUGAGUUCAAGGAGGAUUUCUUGCUUGAACCAGCUGCCAUGUGCAGUAAUAUGCAAAUUCCAUAUAUAGUGGGCGGGGACUUCAAUAUUCUUAGACAUUCAUGA
rnacentral:rRNA from 1 species